rnacentral:rRNA from 1 species
CCUACGGGAGGCAGCAGUGAGGAAUAUUGGUCAAUGGGCGGAAGCCUGAACCAGCCAAGUAGCGUGCAGGAUGACGGCCCUACGGGUUGUAAACUGCUUUUAUACGGGAAUAACGCGCCUUACGUGUAGGGCUUUGCAUGUACCGUAUGAAUAAGGACCGGCUAAUUCCGUGCCAGCAGCCGCGGUAAUACGGCGGGUCCGGUCUUUAUCCGGAUUGCUUGGGUUUAAAGGGAGCGUAGGCGGCAUGUCAAGCGUGCUGUGAAAGGUCCGGGCUCAACCCGGGCCUUGCAGCGCGAACUGGCGUGCUUGAGUCCGCGGAAAGCAGGCGGAAUUCGUCGUGUAGCGGUGAAAUGCUUAGAUAUGACGAAGAACCCCGAGUGCGAAGGCAGCUUGCUGCAGCGGAACUGACGCUGAUGCUCGAAAGCGCGGGUAUCGAACAGGAGUAGAUACCCCUGUAGUC